rnacentral:rRNA from 1 species
UACGUAGGGUGCGAGCGUUAAUCGGAAUUACUGGGCGUAAAGCGUGCGCAGGCUGUUUUGUAAGUCAGAUGUGAAAUCCCCGAGCUCAACUUGGGAACUGCGUUUGAAACUACAAGACUAGAAUAUGUCAGAGGGGGGUAGAAUUCCACGUGUAGCAGUGAAAUGCGUAGAGAUGUGGAGGAAUACCAAUGGCGAAGGCAGCCCCCUGGGAUAAUAUUGACGCUCAUGCACGAAAGCGUGGGGAGCAACAAGGAUUAGAGUACCUUGA